UGGUCAAGCUAAUAAGGGCUUACGGUGGAU
rnacentral:rRNA from 6 species